rnacentral:rRNA from 1 species
AUGUAUGAGACACAUGUGCUUCCUAAUGGAGUCCAAGGAAAGAGCAAGCCUGAUGCUGAAUGGGGAGAUACAUGUCUAAGAAUCGCUCAUAGAAUUCAGAACAGAAAUGUAAAGACAUACAGUUCACAGGAUGGGAUUGGCGAUCCGGAUCUUGAGUGCACAGAGAUCGUCCGCAGAAUCAUUCACAUAGCUCAACUUAACAAGGUAUGUCCUGCCGCCAACAUAAAUUUCAAGGUUCUUGAUACUCCCUACAGUUUCAAAGCUUGGAACGAUUUACAGGUUUUUGUUCUACAAUCUAAAUCCUGUUUGAGGUGGACAUAG